GAUGAACGCUGGCGGCGUGCCUAAUACAUGCAAGUCGAGCGAAUGGAUUAAGAGCUUGCUCUUAUGAAGUUAGCGGCGGACGGGUGAGUAACACGUGGGUAACCUGCCCAUAAGACUGGGAUAACUCCGGGAAACCGGGGCUAAUACCGGAUAAUAUUUUGAACUGCAUGGUUCAAAAUUGAAAGGCGGCUUCGGCUGUCACUUAUGGAUGGACCCGCGUCGCAUUAGCUAGUUGGGGAGGUAACGGCUCACCAAGGCAACGAUGCGUAGCCGACCUGAGAGGGUGAUCGGCCAGACUGGGACUGAGACACGGACCAGACGCCUACGGGAGGCAGCAGGAGGGAAUCUUCCGCAAUGGACGAAAGUCUGACGGAGCAACGCCGCGUGAGUGAUGAAGGCUUUCGGGCCGUAAAACUCUGUUGUUAGGGAAGAACAAGUGCUAGUUGAAUAAGCUGGCACCUUGACGGUACCUAACCAGAAAGCCACGGCUAACUACGUGCCAGCCGCCGCAGUAA
rnacentral:rRNA from 1 species